rnacentral:rRNA from 1 species
AUUGAACGCUGGCGGCAGGCCUAACACAUGCAAGUCGAGCGGAUGACGGGAGCUUGCUCCUUGAUUCAGCGGCGGACGGGUGAGUAAUGCCUAGGAAUCUGCCUGGUAGUGGGGGACAACGUUUCGAAAGGAACGCUAAUACCGCAUACGUCCUACGGGAGAAAGCAGGGGACCUUCGGGCCUUGCGCUAUCAGAUGAGCCUAGGUCGGAUUAGCUAGUUGGUGGGGUAAUGGCUCACCAAGGCGACGAUCCGUAACUGGUCUGAGAGGAUGAUCAGUCACACUGGAACUGAGACACGGUCCAGACUCCUACGGGAGGCAGCAGUGGGGAAUAUUGGACAAUGGGCGAAAGCCUGAUCCAGCCAUGCCGCGUGUGUGAAGAAGGUCUUCGGAUUGUAAAGCACUUUAAGUUGGGAGGAAGGGCAGUGAGUUAAUACCUUGCUGUUUUGACGUUACCGACAGAAUAAGCACCGGCUAACUCUGUGCCAGCAGCCGCGGUAAUACAGAGGGUGCAAGCGUUAAUCGGAAUUACUGGGCGUAAAGCGCGCGUAGGUGGUUUGUUAAGUUGGAUGUGAAAGCCCCGGGCUCGACCUGGGAACUGCAUCCAAAACUGGCAAGCUAGAGUACGGUAGAGGGUGGUGGAAUUUCCUGUGUAGCGGUGAAAUGCGUAGAUAUAGGAAGGAACACCCGUGGCGAAGGCGACCACCUGGACUGAUACUGACACUGAGGUGCGAAAGCGUGGGGAGCAAA